rnacentral:rRNA from 1 species
UACGGAGGAUGCAAGCGUUAUCCGGAAUUAUUGGGCGUAAAGCGUCCGCAGGUGGCACUUCAAGUCUGCUGUCAAAGACCGGGGCUUAACUUCGGAAAGGCAGUGGAAACUGAACAGCUAGAGUAUGGUAGGGGCAGAGGGAAUUCCUGGUGUAGCGGUGAAAUGCGUAGAGAUCAGGAAGAACAUCGGUGGCGAAGGCGCUCUGCUGGACCAUAACUGACACUCAGGGACGAAAGCUAGGGGAGCAAACGGG